CUCAUCAUGGGAGGAGAGUGGGAACCGUGGGAGGCAAGUAGGGAGGAGCCUCCCCCAUCACCGCUGCUAACAUUUCAUCAGUCCUAGGAUCGAACUGCACCAUGGAGAUGUCUGGGAACUGCAGCCCAGCCAUCUGGCUGGGAGGAAGAGGAUAUGGGAUAGUUGAGUCAUGGUGGGCUGUCUGCUUCCUCAGCUGGAGUUGAAUCUGACCAUAGACUUGGUGUUCUGUCCCCCCCCCCCCCAGCCCCCCGCCUCAGAGGCUAUAAAGGCCUCUAACACAGGUACUUGAAUCACAUCUGCCUUUAGUCCUGAUCCUGUCUCCAGACAAGGGAACACAUGAAUUUUAGCCAGAUGAGGAAUUGUGUAGACAUGGUUUACGAACCUUGGAUCUCCUUAUUGCAAGAACAGACGAUGAAGAGGAACAGACACAGCCGGUGUCUUCCAAUCUGCAUCGCCAGCCUUGGUCUCUGCUGAACGCUCGGUGUGUGGCAGUCCAGAUCACACCUAGCAGGCAUCCGUCUUUAUCCACAGCUCAGUGUCUGAAGACAGAUUCACUCUUCCCUCUUCUCCUCCAACCAGAUCCAGGUCAGGUGUUGCCUACUUGGGAAAUGGCGACAUUUUGCUAGUCUCUAGGAAACAUGCUAAAUAAUUUUCAAAGAAGUGAGAGGAUUUAGAACUUGUUUACUUCCUGGAACUGAGAACACAGGAGAGUCCCUAAGAUGGAGAUCGCAGAGUCAAGAUUAUCAGUGAAAGGACCUUAACCUACAUCUUUCUGCAGGCCAGGAAACCUGGGCAUCUCUGUCCAUUGAUUCCCAGAGUGGACUUGAAUUUAUCAGGACACAGAAGCUUAGAGACUUCAGACAGAAGGUAGAAUGUGAAUCAUGGAGCCACCGGUGCUCAGAGCUACCCUCCAAACCAAGGGAAAUGACAAGAAGUCGGCAGACCUCUCAAGAUAAGGCAGUGCAGAAGAGUUUUAAUCUGCAAAGCAGUGGGUAUAAGAGGCUGCCCAAGCCUCUCUGUACUACUCUCAGCAGUAGCCAAGGACUGGAGGCUGGCUCGUGAAGAAUUCAUGGCAACAGAGUCAGGACUUUCAGCAAGGACCAGAGGAUGGAAGAGACAACACAGAACUAAUCUAAUGGGACAACACUGACCUAGGAGCCAGGAGCCACUCACAUGGCUCCAGUUGCUUUAUUAAAACAAGAUUAUGGCGAAUAUGGAAGCUGAGAGGCCUGUCCAUAAACAAUCUCAGUCACCUGGUUGGAAGAGGAUGUAGCUUGGAGAUAUGGAGACAGUGGGAAGUUGUCGUUUUGAUCCUGUAAGAAUUAUUUGAAGAAUAGGAGUGGGGUAUACAAUAGCAAUUCCAAGUGACUUUCCUGUGCUUCACCUGAGCUAUUAGAACAUUGAAACUGCCUUUAGUUGGAAAGAGGAAAAUCAAGAAAGAGACAGUUCUGGAGAGAAUAUCUUAAGAGCUAGGGGUUGAUGACAUUAAUGAUGUCAUUAGAUGGCCCCACAGCCAUCUAAACAGAGAUACAAGAUUCUUUGGGAGUCAAGAGAAAGGUUGGGCCUAGACAUGAAAAUUUGCUAGUUUCUAACAUGUAAAAAUAGUUAAGAAAAUGCGUAACCCAUCACUGAAGUUCAUAAUGAUGGAAAAACUUACUCAAAGUAUUCAAGUUACUCAAAAUACAGCUUACUGAUAAACAGUAUCAUAUCACCUAGGAACACAUUAGCUAUGUAAAUCCGUAGGCUUAUCUAUACCCUUGGAAUCAGAUAUUCCUUGGGUAGGGCCCUGCACAUUUGUACAGUAAGCCUUCCAGGUGUUUCCUUUGCCUACUAAAAUUUGAGAACCACUGAUAUAGAAAUUAGAGAGCAAAGAAGAAAGCCAAGGGAAAGCCCAGAGAGGAAGAAGACCAGAGGGCAUGGGGUACUGGAACUCAAGCCGACAAAACUGCAAGUAGAAGAGGCAUCCAUGCUGUGCCAUGCCCCCAAGAACUACACACAUUGUCUCCAAGGUGAGGACAUUCCGUCAUCUGUAGGUAAAGCUUCGGUGGUUGUGCAAUGGCCACAAGCCUGGUGAGCUGACUUUAAGAGAGAAGGGACAGAGGGAGAAGCAAAACUUCAAAAGCAAGUGUUCAGAGGAGCUUGGCCUCAGGGGGAAGGGGGAUGGACAGUGGCUAAAGUGGGAAAGAGUUAAGAGAGAGCUGUUUUCUCUCUCUCUCUCUCUCUCUCUCUCUCUCUCUCUCUCUCUCUC